rnacentral:rRNA from 1 species
GUGUCAGCCGCCGCGGUAAUACGGAGGGUGCAAGCGUUAUUCGGAAUUACUGGGUUUAAAGGGUGCGUAGGCGGUUAAAUAAGUUGUCAGUGAAAGGCUACGGCUCAACUGUAGUAGUGCUGGCGAUACUGUAUAACUAAGGACAUGGGAGGGGUACCUGGAAUGUGUGGUGUAGCGGUGAAAUGCGUAGAUAUCACACAGAACACCGGAGGCAAAGGCGGGGUACUAGACCAUAGUUGACGCUGAGGCACGAAAGCGUGGGGAUCAAACAGGAUUAGAUACCCUGGUAGUCCACGCCCUAAACGAUGAUCACUAGAUAUUGGCGACAGACAGUCAGUGUCCAAGCGAAAGUGAUAAGUGAUCCACCUGGGGAAUACGGCCGCAAGGUUAAAACUUAAAGGAAUUGACGG